rnacentral:rRNA from 1 species
GAAAUGACUCUCGGCAAUGGAUAUCUCGGCUCUCGCAUCGAUGAAGAGCGCAGCGAAAUGCGAUACGUGGUGCGAAUUGCAGAAUCCCGCGAACCAUCGAGUCUUUGAACGCAAGUUGCGCCUGAGGCCAAUCGGCCAAGGGCACGUCUGCCUGGGCGUCAAGC